CGUUGUUAAUAUCUACGUGCUUCAUAAACGUACUUCCUCUUGCACUGAGAGGAGGCGCAGGCAGCGAUCGCCAUACGUCAUGAUAUUCCUCUUCUCAGAACAUUUAGAAUGCGAAGACAAAUACUUCAUAUCAUUUUCAUGAUGCAAUGCAUUAAAGCAUGUAUUAAAAAUGUGGGGGCAACGUGGAGUUCCGAUAACGAUGCUGCAUCGCAGUCACAUCCUGUUAUUCAUGUCAAGAGUGAGCUCUUCAUUAACCCUAGCAACACUGAUUUUCAGCAGAAGAAUUGUGCAGCCCAAGAUGAGGUUUGUAUAUGAUCGGGGACUGCAAUGUGAAAAGGAAUAGCUGGCACCCACAAGGUAGGCAUGCCUUUUCAAAUAUGGCUUUACUCACAUGCAUGACUCAGGAAUGUCUGUAGGCCAUUAUCAGAGAGCUCUGAAAUUAAAGUGAUAGGGAGCAGCUGAAGAAGAAGAAGGAGGAGGAGGAGGUCUAGUAGUUGUUUUUGUGCAAAUAUAUUCGGCUCAAAGUGACUCCUUGAGGGUGUUAGGAGUGGUUCUGCACAUAUGCCAGUAUUAAUUAAGAAAAUCAAGUAAGGGCCUUGAUAAAUUUAGCAGUGGUUUUCCUAGCUAAACUGCCAUUAAUUUAGUGACAAUAGCCCAAAAAGUAUAUGGGAACAGAAGCAUAAGUACUUAGGAGGCUCCCUGAUAACAAUUCUGUGGCAGUUCCACAGGCAGAAACCCUUUACCCUUAAAUCCCUAAUGCUCCUGCAAUCCCAACAAUAAUUAGCCUUUCAAAAUGUAACCAGGAGGAUGAUGAAUGGGCAUCUUGUCUACUACCUCCUCCUUAUAAUAAAAAUCAGAAGGCUGCUGCUGCCAUCCCUGUCCCAGGAUAUCCUUCCAUUGCCAAGCUAGCAGUUGCAGACAAGGGUUUGGAGAUUGUUACACUGUAAUGGCGGACUGAUUAACUAGACACUUAAACAAAUCUAAACGCACUAUGAAGCUGCUCAAACGAGAGAAGAAUACAAGAGAGAGACAUAGGUAUGUUUGAAGAGAAUGGCAGGUGUAGAAAUGUUGUUUAAAUUAUGUUGCGAGAAACCAAAGAAUGUUCAGCCUGUCUGAAAGUGAGGUAUUAUGCUUAAAGGAUGACAUGUGAAUGGGACUUUUUGUCUGAAAUAUACUGCUAUUAAAAUUAAUGUUUAAGUAUGUGCUGGCGAUAUAUUGUGCACACAAACCUAGAAAUAUCUGAAAUAAAUUUACAGGGCUUUGAGUUAAAUUACGUUAAAAAUAUGAAUUCUGAAUAUGUGCAAUAGUUAGUAAAAUAAAGAUGUCUAUAAAAAUGUUUAUAAUUGUGCAAAACAAAAGGAGACCAUUUCUUUUAAGAAUAAAAAUUCUACUGGUGUGUGUGUGUGAGUCCACUGUGAUGCCAUUGGGAAGUGCAGAAUAUUUAUUAAAUGUGAGUCGUUAGGUAACUGAAGAGGCGUAGUAUGGUGGCACAGUGUUUGGCACUGCUGCCCAGCAAUUUGAAAUACAGGACUUUAAAUGGUAAAAGCUAGAAAAAUAAAACUUGAAUGCAUUUAAAUUUGUUAAAGAUAGUUUAAGUAACACCGAGUAUGUUGUGCAGUAUGUGAAUGAGAUCUCUCUGACUGAAGUGCAAUUAAAGAGCUUGAGUCUGAGGAUAUGUUUGGUUAAGGACAGUGU